GCCCCCGUAGCUCAGUGGAUAGAGCGGCGGCCUUCUAAUCCGCGGGUCACAGGUUCGAAUCCUGUCGGGGGCGCCA
rnacentral:tRNA from 1 species